AGCCUGCCCAUGGCUAGGAGGGGCCCCAGCCUGUUAAAUUCAUGGUAAAGGUCCAAGCUCUGUGAACACUGACCAGGGCCUCCCAGAGAGCUGAGGAGAUGGGGUAGCCUGGCCUCCUGCCUGCUCCCUAAAACUGGGUGGCAGGCCCUGCCCAAGCCUGGGGCCAGCACUAUCUUCUUCCAAAGGACCUUCAGUCUGUUUGCAAGGACCACAUUCCAUGGCUCACGUGCUGCUCAUAGGUGGAGAAAGGCCUGGAGUGUUCUCCCUAGGAAACAGAGUAACACCUGUGGUAGAUUUUAAAGCCGUUGAGUCUCCAGGGCUUCCUGGCAGACUGCUGGUCAGUGUCCUCAUCCAGGACUCAUGGCCACAUUCCAUGUCCAGAACACUUUGUGGAUGCUCUGGAGGAGCACAGUUGACAAAGCCUGCCACUUCAAGCCUACGUUACGAGCCACGUUGACCCCGAAGGAUGUUUAAAGGUCAUCAGAGCAUCCAGUCCCUGCCCAGUGCACCUCAGAAAUUCCACAGCAACCAAAUCCAGGGAGG